ensembl:miRNA Mir6937 microRNA 6937
UAGCUGUAAGGGCUGGGUCUGUGUGAUUGGUCUCCAGGAAACUCACAGGUUCUCCCUUGCACUAG